GGAUUAGGCAUGCAAGUCGUACGAGACCCUCGCUUCGGUGAGGUGAAAGUGGCGAACGGGUGAGUAAUGCAUAGCUAACCUACCCUUGGGGCUGGGAUAACCAGGAGAAAUCUUGGCUAAUACCGGAUAGGCUCACGGAGUUGCAUAAUUCUGUGAGUAAAGCAGGCCUCUUAACAAUGCUUGCACCCGGGGACGGGACUAUGUCCUAUCAGCUAGUUGGUAGGGUAAUGGCCUACCAAGGCGAUGACGGGUAGCCGACCUGAGAGGGUGACCGGCCACACUGGGACUGAGACACUGCCCAGACUCCUACGGGAGGCUGCAGUCGAGAAUCUUCCGCAAUGGGGGCAACCCUGACGGAGCGACGCCGCGUGUGGGAUGAAGGCCUUCGGGUUGUAAACCACUGUCACGCAUUAUGAAGGGCUCGGCGUUAACAGCGCUGGGCUUUGACAAAGGUGCGGGAGGAAGCCACGGCUAACUCUGUGCCAGCAGCCGCGGUAAGACAGAGGUGGCGACCGUUGUUCGGAAUCACUGGGCAUAAAGCGCGUGUAGGCGGCAUCGUAAGUCGGGUGUGAAAUCCCUCGGCCCAACCGAGGAAUUGCGCCCGAAACUACCUUGCUUGAGGACCAGAGGGGAGCCUGGAAUUCCUGGUGGAGCGGUGAAAUGCGUUGAUAUCAGGAGGAACACCGGCGGCGAAGGCGAGGCUCUGGCUGGUUACUGACGCUGAGACGCGAAAGCUAGGGGAGCAAACGGGAUUAGAUACCCCGGUAGUCCUAGCCGUAAACGAUGGGCACUAAGUAGAGGGGUUUU
rnacentral:rRNA from 1 species